AUUGAACGCUGGCGGCAGGCCUAACACAUGCAAGUCGAGCGGAAGAAGGGAGCUUGCUCCUGGAUUCAGCGGCGGACGGGUGAGUAAUGCCUAGGAAUCUGCCUGGUAGUGGGGGAUAACGUCCGGAAACGGGCGCUAAUACCGCAUUCGUCCAGAGGGAGAAAGUGGGGGAUCUUCGGACCUCACGCUAUCAGAUGAGCCUAGGUCGGAUUAGCUAGUUGGUGGGGUAAAGGCCUACCAAGGCGACGAUCCGUAACUGGUCUGAGAGGAUGAUCAGUCACACUGGAACUGAGACACGGUCCAGACUCCUACGGGAGGCAGCAGUGGGGAAUAUUGGACAAUGGGCGAAAGCCUGAUCCAGCCAUGCCGCGUGUGUGAAGAAGGUCUUCGGAUUGUAAAGCACUUUAAGUUGGGAGGAAGGGCAGUAAGUUAAUACCUUGCUGUUUUGACGUUACCAACAGAAUAAGCACCGGCUAACUUCGUG
rnacentral:rRNA from 1 species